GCGAGUGUAGUGUAGCGGUAGCACAAAAGCUUCCCAAGCUUUUAACCCGGGUCCGAAUCCCGGCACUCGCA
rfam:Thermoplasmatales archaeon I-plasma AMDT3_IPLC00001, whole genome shotgun sequence.